AUUGAACGCUGGCGGCAUGCCUUACACAUGCAAGUCGAACGGUAACGGGCCUUCGGGUGCCGACGAGUGGCGAACGGGUGAGUAAUACAUCGGAACGUGCCCGAUCGUGGGGGAUAACGAGGCGAAAGCUUUGCUAAUACCGCAUACGAUCUACGGAUGAAAGCAGGGGACCGCGAGGCCUUGCGCGGACGGAGCGGCCGAUGGCAGCUUAGGUAGUUGGUGGGAUAAAAGCUUACCAAGCCGACGAUCUGUAGCUGGUCUGAGAGGAUGAUCAGCCACACUGGGACUGAGACACGGCCCAGACUCCUACGGGAGGCAGCAGUGGGGAAUUUUGGACAAUGGGCGCAAGCCUGAUCCAGCCAUGCCGCGUGCAGGAUGAAGGCCUUCGAGUUGUAAACUGCUUUUGUACGGAACGAAAAGCCUUCUUUUAAUACAGGAGGGUCAUGACGGUACCGUAAGAAUAAGCACCGGCUAACUACGUG
rnacentral:rRNA from 1 species